UUUAAAUCUUUUUUUAGCUUUUCUAUAUAAAGCCCAGUGCAGAAGUUGCUACGCGCAUGCGCAGUUUCUAGUUGCUAUAGCUCCUUCGCAGCUGGAUUCUAGAACAAAAGCAGAAGAGUCAAAAGCAGUCUAAAGGAUACCACCAAGGCCCAAGAGUUGUUUAAAAGCUGAAAGAGCUGAAAAAGAGGAUGGUGUCAAGACCAGGGUAGCAAGUGCUGCAGCUUGUAGCCUAUACUACUAAGAUACUACUAGGAGACUACACUAUAGAGUGUCUAAAGAGGGACCAGGAGUUAUUUAAAAGCUGAAAGAGGAUUGUUUCAUGACCAGACUCGACUCGACUGGAGUAAAGCAAGUGUUUUUCUAGGCAUUGACGGAAAAAAGCUAUGGUUAUUUGUGGAUGACUUUGACGAGGUUCCAACCCAGUGGACAGGCUUCAGCACCUUGUUCAUGUUCACACCCAACUGUACUUCGGCACUCAACUUGAUAUGGCAUGGCUCCAUCCUGAAAUUUCAUCACCGAAGACGAUUGCCAAGAAGGUAGCUUCUCUAACACUUUAUAAUGAAGAAGCAGACAAUGGUACUUAUAAUUUGCUGCAACAAUACUCUGUACUCAUGCAGGACAUACUUUAUGUUCCUGUACAUUUUCAAUCACUUUUUCUGCUGUUUCAUCGAAUGUACGUAUAAUUUAAUUGCACCUCCAUUUAUCUUUUCACAGUCACAUGCCAACAACGUCACUAUUAAUAAUUUAUUGCAUGCU